UUACAUAAAGGUAUAGUCAAAAACUGUUUUAGAAAUUAGAAUCUUUGGGAAGUGCUCGAGGAAACCUUCGUACAUGGGAGAUCAUGCUUCUAGGUUAUGAUAGAUAUCAUAUGGCCACAGAAUUAUCCUUGGUUGACCCAAUAGACUCCAAAAAAAAUGAGAAGAUUACUAUCAUAUUCUUCCCAAUGGUGAGUCUUCUCUUGACAUAUCAUUAUCUCCACUGUCUCUAAUUG
rnacentral:lncRNA from 1 species